rnacentral:rRNA from 1 species
AUUGAACGCUGGCGGCAGGCUUAACACAUGCAAGUCGAACGAGUGGCGGACGGGUGAGUAAUGUUUGGGACACUAGCUUCUGGAGGGGGAUAACUACGGGAAACUGUAGCUCAUACCGCGUACCAUCGGAUGAGCCCAAGUGGGAUUAGGUAGUUGGUGGGGUAAAGGGUAACCAAGCCGACGAUCUCUAGCUGGUCUGAGAGGAUGACCAGGCACACUGGGACUGGGACACGGCCCAGACUCCUACGGGAGGCAGCAGUGGGGAAUCUUCCGCAAUGGACGAAAGUUGACGGAGCAACGCCGCGGGAGUGAUGACGGCCGUCGGGUUGUAAAGCUCUGUUAAUCGGGAGACGGUACCGGAAUAGAAAGCCACGGCUAACUACGUGCCAGCCGCCGCGGUAAUAC